CAACUUUGCUAGGACAGUCUGGCGCUUCUGACUCACAGCCUGUAAGUACGUUUUCAUAUUAAAAGAAUUUGCUACUGAUGAUUUAAAUGUGAGUUUUGAGCUGUGUAGAGUAGCGCUUGUUGUUUGUCGUUUCUCCGAUCACAACAUGGUUUUAUGUUUAUGCGGCGCGAUAUUGUCACGGUUCAUGAAUCGGCUGUCUCACACUGAGGUGUCUGUGUGAGUGUAAUUGUGUGGGUGUGGUUACUCAUUGUGUUGAUUAGUGUCACCAGCUGUCGUUGAUUUCACCUCCCUUUAUAUGUCAGUAAAUUCCCUCUCAUGUUGUCAGAUCGUUGUGGUUGUUCCCUGGUGUGCAUCCUGUUCUUGUGUCUCGUCGAGCCCCGUUCUCCGUUGGAUUUCGUCAGUUCUUCGUGUCGUUUGGAUUUCGUCAGUUCCUUGUGUCGUCUGGAUGUUCCUGGGGUUCUCUUCACGCUCUUCACCGCACCACCACCGGAUCGCCAUCUCGUCCCUGCUUCACCACCACCACCUGAGUGUUUGUCCCCGGCCCGUGUCUGUACUCUGACCAUCAUUAUAAUUAAACUUGUUUACUUGCAUCUUGCAUCCUCUCAUUAUUCAUCACAGAUAUGCAACGCAACACGUAAAAAGACAGUAUAAGUCAUUAUAAUCAGUAAUUAUGUCCCCAAUGGAUGCAACAAAUGCCUCGUUUGUAAUGUGUUUUAUUGUUUUUUUGUCGUCACGCCGGGACAUGGCAUCACAGUAUGGUAAGGAGCAUAACAUUUCCAUCAUCAGUGCACACCUCGCUUUUCAGAACUUUGAGCUUAAAUGAGUACAUGUUUCAGAAAGGCAGGGCAUAGAGGAGCAACAAUAAUGUACAGUAUGUGAAAAAUAAUGUUUUUUUGAACUUUAAACCACAUAAACACAUUGCAUUACACCAAAUACACAAAAUAAUGUUCUUUUUAGGAACGUCAUAUGACCCCUUUAAACUGAGGUCCUGACUCUCUGUGGUCAUUAAAAAUCCCAUGGCACUUCUUGUAAAGAGUAGGGGUGUAACCCCGGUGUCCUGGCCAAAUUCCCUCCAAUAGCCCUUUUCAAUCAUGGCCUUCUAAUAAUCCCCAUCCACUUGACUGGCUCUAUCUCUCUCUCUCCUCUCCACCUGUAGCUGGUGUGUGGUGAGCAAACUGGCGCCAUUGUACUGUGGCUGUCAUCGUAUCAUCCUGUUGGAUUCUGCACACUGGUGGUGAUUGAGGAGAGACCCCCCCCCCACAUGACUGUAAACUACUUUGGGAGUACAACAAUACAAAUAAAGUGCUAUAUAAAUGCA
ensembl:lncRNA